ensembl:misc_RNA Y_RNA Y RNA
GGCCCCUCCAAAAAUAGAGUAUCUUAGUUAUUCACAGUCAGUUAAAGAUUGAACUUCUCCUCUUUUCCCCCUUCUUACUACUGCCAUUGAUGAGUCUUUU